rnacentral:rRNA from 1 species
CACGUAGGGCGCAAGCGUUGUCCGGAAUUAUUGGGCGUAAAGCGCGUGUAGGCGGCCAGAUAGGUCUGCUGUGAAAACUCGAGGCUCAACCUCGAGCUGUCGGCGGAAACCAUCUGGCUAGAGUCCGGAAGAGGAGAGUGGAAUUCCUGGUGUAGCGGUGAAAUGCGCAGAUAUCAGGAAGAACACCUAUGGCGAAGGCAGCUCUCUGGGACGGUACUGGCGCUGAGACGCGAAAACGUGGGGAGCGAACAGG